rnacentral:rRNA from 1 species
GCAAGUCGGACGGUAGGCGCACUUCGGUGCGCUGAGAGUGGCGAACGGGUGAGUAACGCGUAACUGAUCUGCCCCAUAGACUGGGACAACCUUUGGAAACAGAGGCUAAUACCGGAUGAGCUCAUGCUGGUUAGAGAGGCAUGAGGGAAGGCUUCGGUCGUUAUGGGAUGAGGUUGCGUUCCAUCAGCUGGUCGGUGAGGUAAAGGCUCACCGAGGCAAUGACGGAUAGGGGAUCUGAGAGGGUGGCCCCCCACACUGGGACUGAGACACGGCCCAGACUCCUACGGGAGGCAGCAGUAAGGGAUAUUGCACAAUGGGCGCAAGCCUGAUGCAGCGACGCCGCGUGGGCGAAGAAGGUUUUCGGAUCGUAAAGCCCUUUUCCAGGUGACGAGGAAGGACGGUAGCCUGGGAAUAAGUGUCGGCUAACUACGUGCCAGCAGCCGCGGUAAAACGUAGGACACGAACGUUAUCCGGAGUUACUGGGCGUAAAGAGCGCGUAGGCGGAUGCAAAAGUUACCCAUGAAAGGCACUGGCUAAACUGGUGUUAGUUGGGUGAAACUAGGUAUCUAGAGAGAAAUAGAGGGAAGCGGAAUUCCGGGUGUAGUGGUGAAAUGCGUAGAUAUCCGGAGGAAUACCGGCGGCGAAGGCGGCUUCCUGGAUUUUGUCUGACGCUGAGGCGCGAAAGCGUGGGUAGCGAACGGGAUUAGAAACCCCGGUAGUCCACGCCGUAAACGAUGCACAUUAGAUGUUCGGUCAUGUUAAGUGGUUGAGUGUUGCAGCAAACGCGAUAAAUGUGCCGCCUGGGGGAGUACGGUCGCAAGGCUUAAAACUCAAAGGAAUUGACGGGGGCCCGCACAAGCAGCGGAGCGUGUGGUUUAAUUCGAGGCUACGCGAAGAACCUUACCCUGGGUUUGACAUGGAUGGUAGUACGGAAGCGAAAGCGGAAGGACCUUCGGGAGCCAUCACAGGUGCUGCAUGGUUGUCGUCAGCUCGUGCCGUGAGGUGUUCGGUUAAGUCCGCAAACGAGCGCAACCCUCGGUGCUAGUUACAAGUGUCUAGCAUGACUGCCCAUGACAAAUGGGAGGAAGGUGGGGACGAUGUCAAAUCAGCAUGGCCUUUAUAUCCAGGGCGACACACACGCUACAAUGGUCGGUACAAUGGGUGGCGAAGCAGCGAUGCGGAGCGAAUCCUGAAAAGUCGGUCUCAGUUCGGAUUGCAGGCUGCAACUCGCCUGCAUGAAGUCGGAGUUGCUAGUAACCGCAAAUCAGCAUGUUGCGGUGAAUACGUUCCCGGGCCUUGUACACACCGCCCGUCACGUCAUGGGAGUUGGUCGAGCCUGAAGUCGGGAGGCGAACCCCGCAAGGGGGCGCU